ensembl:lncRNA
UCGGUAACUUGCUAUUAAUCAUCUUUAGGCCAAUGUGCGCGGAACUUCAGUUUAGGAUGUUAACGUCUGGCAGGUUUCCGUGGAGUGACGGGCCGUGGACGCAGCGGGCGGGGCGUUAUGUUUAUGGACCCGCCUCCUAUAUGCAAAUGCUGAGACAUCAGGUUUGACGUAAAUGUUUUUGUUUUUUUAAACUCUAUUGAGAAAUUAUAACGUUAGUACAACACCUCACUUAAAAGUAUAGCGCAGUCUUUAAACCAGAUCCCCAAAAUGUAUUUUCACGUCGUUCUUGUUCUAGACGACCUGCUCUAUGCCCUUGUUUACUUCCAUUAUAAACAACUGUACAGCAGCGUUGUAGUCUGCGUGAUACUAUAGGAAAAGUCAAGGAUUCCCAUAUACCCACUAACGAGAGCGCGAUGACACGUAACAACAUCAUCGUGACAGAACGUUGUCACUUUCAUUCAUAAAUUCACACCCGUCUGUGUGUACAGUCAGAGCCAUUCUCUAUUCCUCUAUACACUGUGAGAAUCUAUAUAUCUAUUACUCAUAAUCAGAAAUGUGAUCAAUUGAAGCAGUGAAACAUGGGACAUGUCACGGUCUGACUCGGCUUUGGAGGUGUGGUUUCAGGCUGGGAGAGCAGGUUUCCGUGGUUACCUGGGCGGAGUCUGGUGGCUGCCUGCGGUCACAGCUGAACCCCUCUUAAGGAACAGCAGGAGCACCAGUCUUCGCCAGAUCGUUUUGCCUUCCUAGUGGUAACUUGGCCAGCUCUCACCCGAGAUCGAUUCUCUAAGGAAAGAGUUUUUUGCAUUGACUUUUUUUUUUCUUCAUGUUUCGGUCCCAUCCCAGCCUGCUUCUCGGAACCUGACGGAUUCCCCGGCUUCCCCUCUCGCCCUCCGCGGCUUGAGAGAACUCCUCCAGCCAGCCGGAUCUUUACCUUUCCCUCCAGCGUGGGUUCUAUCUACCGCACCGCUCCUGCCGCCUGGACCCCUGUGCCUCUCCAGCAUCUUCCCCGGCCACGGAUCCCGAACUAAGUCCCUCUGCUGCCAAAAAUAAAAUCUUUUAUUUCUCUGGAUCCUGCUUUUGAGUCCAACCCUCGUUCUGGCUAUCACCCCAUGACAGGACAUCCAAAUAAACCAAGAGAACUUUACGAAGAGCACGACAUGCAGGGGCUUUCCAGAUGUUCUCUGCACCGCAACGAGACAGUGUGUGAGAUGGUGGAUGCUCGACUGCAGCAUGUGGUGUUCUUGCAGAGGCCAUUUUUUCAGAAUAUAACUUAAUGGCCAUUUAAUAAAAACUCAUUAUGAAGCAGCUGAUCUGUGGACCCGCUGUUUAAGUGCUUCUCAAAGCUUCUUUAAACGCUGUCCGAUCCUUUAGUUGCGAAAAAAAGUCAGAAACCCUCCACGAGAGCAACUCACAGCCUCUGAGAGGCUGAGACGUCGAUCUGAAGAUACAAUGGAGGUGUGUUUUUUUUAAUGAUUUAUUCAGCAGGAAGCACUCAUAUAAGCCACACUCAUCAUCUCUGAACAGCAUUAUUUCAUAACCCCAAAACUCUGAUUUGUAUACAGAGCCAAAUAAAACAUGUUCCUACGCCCCACUUUUAAACUUUCCAAUCAGGUUCAAUAUACUGAACAGAAAAUACACACAACAAAUGCAUAGAAUCAUUAGUUUAUACCACCC